rnacentral:rRNA from 1 species
UACAGAGGGUGCGAGCGUUAAUCGGAAUUACUGGGCGUAAAGCGUGCGUAGACGGUUAUUUAAGUCGGGUGUGAAAGCCCCGGGCUCAACCUGGGAAUUGCACUCGAGACUGAAUAGCUAGGGUACGGUAGAGGGAAGUGGAAUUUCCGGUGUAGCGGUGAAAUGCAUAGAUAUCGGAAGGAACAUCAGUGGCGAAAGCGACUUCCUGGACCAGUACCGACGUUCAGGCGCGAAAGCGUGGGGAGCAAAGCAGG